GUUUCUAUAGUUGAAUUACAACGGUGGUUUUUCAUAUCAUUGGUUUCGGUUAAAAUCCGGGUAGAAAUU